UUUCACAUCUUUUUUUUUUUUUUUUUUUUUUUUUUUUUACCUGUUACUUGAUUUUCGGUUCGUACAGUUUUCACUCUUUCUCAAAACAGCACGAUGGC
rnacentral:ribozyme from 1 species